rnacentral:rRNA from 1 species
CCUACGGGCGGCUGCAGUGAGGAAUAUUGGUCAAUGGGCGGGAGCCUGAACCAGCCCAGUCGCGUGAGGGAAGACGGUCCUAUGGAUUGUAACCCUCUUUAGACGGUGAGCAAUGCCGGGCACGCGUGCCCGGAGGGAGAGUACCCGCAGAGUAAGCAUCGGCUAACUCCGUGCCAGCAGCCGCGGUAGUACGGGGGAUGCGAGCGGUAUCGGAAUUUAUUGGGUUAAUAGGGUUCGUAGGCGGAUGUUUAAGUCAGCGGUAAAAUGUCCGGGCUCAACCCGGGCCGGCCGUUGAAACUGGGGAUCUUGAGUGGGCGAGAAGUAUGCGGAAUGCGUGGUGUAGCGGUGAAAUGCAUAGAUAUCACGCAGAACUCCGAUUGCGAAGGCAGCAUACCGGCGCCCGACUGACGCUGAGGCACGAAAGCGUGGGGAUCGAACAGGAUUAGAUACCCGGGUAGUC